rnacentral:lncRNA from 1 species
CAGAAAUAACAUGAACUUCGGACAGCAAUUUAAAUAGUGUCAUUAUUCAAAUUAAUUUAAUAAUCCAACAAGCCUAAUGUUUACUACAGAAAUCUAACUACAAUUAACUAUAUCUAAUAUUCAUUGUUUAAAUGAUUCUGGUUUUUGACAUAUAGUCCAAUAUAACACAAAUAUAAAUAGAACUCAACAAAUAUAAAUCAUCUGCCAAUUAUACUAUUAUGACAACUUGAAUGUAAAUUUCCAAAAGGAGAUAAACAGGAGAUUUUAUUGAGUCAUUUUUCAACUUCCAAGUUGUAGCAAUACAAGAUUCAAAUGUGUACCUGAAAUUGGAGUAGAAAUGAAAUAGAAGAAAUCAGCCACAACAGCAAAUAGCAAACAAUAGCAGUAACCAGCAAUAAUAGGCAGAAAACAACCAGUAGUCCCGCCCUCAAUUCAGAACAGAUAGAAAACCAGUAAGACCCGGGAACAAACAAACUCAAGAUGACCAAACCAAAAUAUUCAACCGCAAGCAGCUCAAAUAAUCUCAUUCGACCUUGAAAUUGAACCAGAACUUUCAAAAAAACAGUACACACUCCGGAUGCUCCCCAGCAAUCAAAUCCUAAGCUAACAGGAACAAACUAGCAACUAAACUUGAGGAUGAACUACAAAUGCCUAAUGGAAUAGUGAUUUCAUUUUUUAACAGUCCAAACAGAAGCUUGUAGCUUCAAAUCACAAACUAAUACUGACUUUUUAGAUGGCAAAAGGACCUCAUUUUAGUUUCUGAACUCUCAAAAUACUCACUCUUUCAGAUUGAAAAUUAGCCUAUUUCCACUCUAAACUCACUGAAUUCUUUGGAUUAGAAAGCUAAUAGUUUUUAACUCAACUCUAUUUCUCCUCCCCUCUUGCUUAACCCAUUCGUCCUCUUUUUUAAGUGUUGAAAUGAAUCCUUAUAUAUCUAAAACCAAGACUCUCUUCUCCCUUUCUCACUAUUAUUCCAACAUCCUUUUAUUAUUACCCUUUCUAAUUAUCCCUACCCCUUCUUUAAUUUCAGCCCCCGCAAAUAUUCCCUCCUAUGUCUCUUUUUUUACAUUUUGUCAUUAUUUACCAUUCUUAAUUCCAAAUAACCCAAAAGUAGACAAACAGAAACCCCACAGUCCCCCUUAAAUUACUCCUUGUUCCCCACUACUCAUUAGAUUAUUUAUAAUUAAUACCCCACUAACAAGACACUAUCAUUACAUCAUUAUCCUAACUAUUUUAUCCCCAAAUCACCCCUGAAAUCCCUUGAAAUUACUACCUUAAACCAAGACUCAUCGACCUGUUAUUUAAAAUCCACAAGUCUAAGCCAAAACCGAUUGCUAAAUUCCCAACUAUAACAGCUAUGAUUGUUCCUAUUCAAAUUCACACCAAUUCAAAUGCAUAAGCACAGAACCAAUCAAAAUGGUAUGAAUCAGACGGAAUUGAUAAUGCGAGCAAAAUGGAUAACAUACUAAAAAAAUAGACUACAUUCAUGCUUCCAGUUUUUAAGCGAACUAAUUGACGACAAUUAUGCAAUUGAUUAUACACAUUAUAACAUAUGACAGUUAACAACAAACGAGCAGAAUAGAAAUAGACCAACAAGGUGACUCGAGUUGUAUUGGCAGAAAACAAAGACCUUAUAAACUAACUUUUCAACGAAGUUUUCAAAUCGACUGUACAACUUAAAACAUGUUCUUGACAAUGGAUAGAAGAAAAUUUAGACCAAAUAAAAGGUUUGAUGAAGAAGGAGAAAGAUGCUGAACAAUAUCGACGAGAAAUAAAUUAAAGAAAGAUACAAAAUUAACCAUACAAACAAACAUAUAGAAAAAGAAAAGGAAAUUAGUAAAACUCACAUUUUUCGGACUUCAAACACAUUUUCUUCAGAAAUUGUUUUCCAGCUAGUAUUAUAGGCCUACUUCGUCCGAGCCUAUAAUAUUAACUAGAAAACACUUUGACUCAGACGACUCCACAUCGGUUGAACCGCUGAAACCUAGAUCCGCCAUUCGACGAGUUUUACGCGGAUUUGAACCAAACACUUGUUGGUUUAGGUAUGAGGGAGGUCAGGGGAAUGUUUGGUAUCAAUUUGGGGACGGUUGCGGUUGAUUCAUGUCUGGCUCGAAUCUUUGAUUAAAUAUUUGAGAAGUUCGGGGUUGAUUCAAGCCAAAUAGGUUGUAGAUUCGUGGAGAGGGGAGUUAGGUGGUUCAUGUGUGUUGUUUGGGUGGCCGGCGGCGUCAUUGCCGCUGGGUUUCUGGUGAAGGGGUGAGGAGGGCGGCUAGGGUUCGGUGGGUGUCUUGUUUAGUUCGUUGAGGGAGACGAAAGGGGAAGGGUUUGGGAAUGG